UUGGCUAGAGCCCCGCCUGCGCGGCUCGCCAUUGGCUCGCCCGUCAGCACAGCGGUCUCCGAUUGGCUGGCACCGCCCUUCCUCCCCACUGACGGGCUCCUGCGCUCAGGUCCCGCUCUCGCACUCGCGUCCCGACUCGCCAUUGGCGGCGUGUCUCGGCCCCGCCGCUCCCGUCCCGCCCUGCCUCUUCCUCCCGCCUUCCCGUGCCGCCCUCAGCGCUGAUUGAUGCUCCCGGCCCAGUCCCGCCUCCCUGGCCAGCACGGCCCCGCCCGCCGAUGGCUCAGCCUCCAUAACGCUCUCCUCGCCGAAGCGGCCGCUUCCAGGAACACAAAGCUCAGAUUCUCUUUCAUCAGAAGAACCCUAUCCAUCAGAAAAUGCAUGGUUUGGCAGUGAGGUGUAAAGUAGUUUUCCCCCAAGUCAGUAGAUAAGGUUUCAGCGUGCACAAGAAAACCCAGGCAUGGAUCAGAAAACAAAUUAUUCUUGCAGUGACCUGAGUUUGUAUGUUCACGAAAUAACAUUGUUGCUACCUCAACUGCAGAAGCACUUUCAAGAAACCUUUCUCUCCUUAUCCCACCCUGUACAGCUGUCCUAUAUGAAAUAAUAUAAAAAAAUGUUAAAUCUCAGUGGGCUGGACUCUGCUGCUGGAGUAACCACACAGAGGGUGGGGGGACUGCAGCAUUAUCAGCACAUUACCCCUUGUUAUCCAGAAUAGGCUAUUCCCUGAUUCUUCAAACAGGAUUUUCCUGUUACUGUGUGUGGGCUGGGAGGUUUAACUAUAUUCUGACUCUUCCUACUGCUAUGAUUGUUAUUGUCUCCUAGAAAUCUUUAUGGAUAUUGAGCAAGGAGGCAUAAACCUGAUCAGGGGAGUAGUAUCAGUGCUUGGCAAACCCAGUCUUUCUAAGGGACAGCUGUCAUCCUCACAAAAUGCCAAGUGAGCAACAACCCCCCUCAACCCUUUACAUUAAAGAACAGUUUUUGACUUAAGCCUAUUUUGUAUCUUAUAAGAAGAUUAAAAGAAUUAAAGAGAAACCAA